UACGUAGGGGGCGAGCGUUGUCCGGAUUUAUUGGGCGUAAAGAGCGUGUAGGCGGUUCGGUAAGUCUGUCGUGAAAUCCUGAGGCUCAACCUCGGGCGUGCGAUGGAUACUGCCGGGCUAGAGGGUGGUAGAGGCGAGUGGAAUUCCCGGUGUAGCGGUGAAAUGCGUAGAUAUCGGAAGGAACAUCAGUGGCGAAAGCGACUUCCUGGACCAAUACUGACGCUCAUGUGCGAAAGCGUGGGGAGCAAACAGG
rnacentral:rRNA from 1 species